rnacentral:rRNA from 1 species
CCCCGUAACUUAGGGAUAAGGGGUGCCACCAUCCGGUGGCCGCAGAGAAUAGGCCCAAGCGACUGUUUACCAAAAACAUAGGUUUCUGCUAAGUCGCAAGACGAUGUAUAGGAGCUGACGCCUGCCCGGUGCUGGAAGGUUAAGGGGAUCUGUUAGAGCAAUCGAAGCAGUGAACUUAAGCCCCAGUAAACGGCGGCCGUAACUAUAACGGUCCUAAGGUAGCGAAAUUCCUUGUCGGGUAAGUUCCGACCCGCACGAAAGGCGUAACGAUUUGGGCACUGUCUCAACAACAGACUCGGUGAAAUUGUAAUUCCGGUGAAGAUGCCGGAUACCUGCGACAGGACGGAAAGACCCCAUGGAGCUUUACUGUAGCUUGACAUUGGGUCUUGGUACUACAUGUACAGGAUAGGUGGGAGGCUUUGAAACCAGGACGCCAGUUUUGGCGGAGCCAUCCUUGGGAUACCACCCUUGUAGUACUGGGACUCUAACCAUAGGCCAUGAAUCUGGUCUUGGGACACUGUCAGGUGGGCAGUUUGACUGGGGCGGUCGCCUCCCAAAAGGUAACGGAGGCGCUCAAAGGUUCUCUCAGUACGGUCGGAAAUCGUACGUAGAGUGUAAAGGCAAAAGAGAGCUUGAUUGCAAGACAUACAGGUCGAGCAAGGAUGAAAAUCGGACUUAGUGAUCCGGUGGUUCUGCGUGGAAGGGCCAUCGCUCAACGGAUAAAAGCUACCCUGGGGAUAACAGGCUUAUCUCCCCCAAGAGUCCACAUCGACGGGGAGGUUUGGCACCUCGAUGUCGGCUCAUCACAUCCUGGGGCUGUAGUAGGUCCCAAGGGUUGGGCUGUUCGCCCAUUAAAGUGGUACGCGAGCUGGGUUCAGAACGUCGUGAGACAGUUCGGUCCCUAUCCGUCGCAGGCGUAGGAAAUUUGAGAAGACCUGUCCUUAGUACGAGAGGACCGGGAUGGACGUACCUCUGGUGUACCAGUUGUUCUGCCAAGGGCAUGGCUGGGUAGCUAUGUACGGAAUGGAUAAGCGCUGAAAGCAUCUAAGCGCGAAGCCAACUUCAAGAUAAGAUUUCCCACCGCAAGGGUAAGACCCCAGAAAGACUAUCUGGUUGAUAGGUCGAAGGUGUAAGUGCAGCAAUGUAUUUAGCUUAUCGAUACUAAUAGGUCGAGGGCUUGACCAA